GACGUAGGGCGCAAGCGUUGUCCGGAUUUAUUGGGCGUAAAGAGCUCGUAGGCGGCUCGUUGCGUCGGCUGUGAAAACCCGCGGCUUAACUGUGGGCUUGCAGCCGAUACGGGCGGGCUGGAGUUCGGUAGGGGAGACUGGAAUUCCUGGUGUAGCGGUGAAAUGCGCAGAGAUGCGGAGGAACACCAGUGGCGAAAGCGGCUUUCUGGUCCUUAACUGACGCUGAGGCGCGAAAGCAUGGGGAGCGAACGGG
rnacentral:rRNA from 1 species